CCCCUCUCAGGGUUGCACCUGAAGAGUUUCCAGUACUCUUUCAGUCUCGACUACAGGAGGGAGAGUCAAGCAGAGGCAUGCCCAUUCCAUUCCUAGCUUGGCCAGUGGCUAGCGAGUGGAAGGCAUUCAGUUACAAGU